GUCUUUGGACAUACUACCCUGUAUGCAUCUAAUUUCAUCUGCAUUUGGACACUAAGCAUGAUGGGGCCUGAUUAGUAUGUGGAUGGGUUAAAGCCUUUUUAAAAUGCAGGUAAUAGAAGAAC
ensembl:rRNA 5S_rRNA 5S ribosomal RNA